GAGACAGCUGGAUGAUAGCCGGGCUGAAGACUCUGCUUGACUAGCUGAGAGGAGGUGCAUGGCCGUCGUCAGUUCGUACUGUGAAGCAUCCUGUUAAGUCAGGCAACGAGCGAGACCCACGCCAACAGUUGCCAGCAUGUCCUCCGGGAUGAUGGGGACACUGUUGGGACCGCCUCUGCUAAAGAGGAGGAAGGAAUGGGCAACGGUAGGUCAGCAUGCCCCGAAUUAUCCGGGCUACACGCGGGCUACAAUGGUCAGGACAAUGGGUAUCGACACCGAGAGGUGGAGGCAAUCUCCUAAACCUGUCCUUAGUUCGGAUUGUGGGCUGCAACUCGCCCACAUGAAGCUGGAAUCCGUAGUAAUCGCGUUUCAAAAUAGCGCGGUGAAUAUGUCCCUGCUCCUU
rnacentral:rRNA from 1 species